AAUAUCAAUCUACAAUCAAUACAGUGUUGCCUGGAGGCAUCUCUUGCUUCAAAUUUGCUUCACAAAUCUGCUGCAGGUGGCUCCCAAGGCAGAUGUUCAAUAAAGAAAAGAAAAAAAUCUGAUACAGACCCAAGUCAAGAGAGAAGCAGUGGAGAUUGCAGAAAAUUGGGAAAGUUAUCAUAAGCAUGGAGCUGUUAUUGGAGAUUUUGCUUCCAGCGUUUGUAGCAGUUGUGUUAUUUACUUUUCAGCAGACGCAAACCUAGUGGGGAAUUAUUGAAAGCCGAGUUUCCUGAGUUUUAAAUUGCACUCGUUUUGUGCACAUCGUGGCAGCAGCUCAUCAAAGGGAGGGCUAAAUUGAAGCUCGGAGAAACAGGAGCUGUUCAGCCUCCGUCUCUCCCUCUUUUUCCAGAAUGAGAGGAAUGGACUUAGCUGCUUGAUGAUUAGGUGGUGUCUAUUUGGUGGCAUCGGGGAGCAGGGUCGCAUUUGGACAUGACUGAAUAUAGAACACUGUCUUUGGGGUUCUCUGGGAGCCCCUGACUCCUCACUCCCCACCCACCUUUGUGGCUUUGCCGGGCCCCAGUGCUCGGUUCUGCUGGCUCCUCUCCUGCUUGUCCUCUGUCCCCACGGCCCUGGACGUCUGCUGCUCUGCUGGGGACCUGGAGACAAACCCGUGCAACUCGACUUCCUCUGGAGCAUCUUGUAACCAAAAUGCCUUGACUCGGGUACCUUCUAGAGGCAGGGCCUUCAAUCGGCAAUGGGCUUCAAGACGUCCAGGUAUCCAAAACCUCCAGGUUUCAUGUCUGGGCAGCUGCUCCUCAAGUCACCCCAAAGGCCAUUUAUAUCAGGUUUAUGCUCCUAUUUCCCUUUAGUGUCCUUCAGCACAAUGGAUGAAGCUCUUGAAUCUAUUAAACUACUCUACCGUAGAACAAGACCACCUCAAGCUGCUGGUUAACUGCAUUUCAGAAUUUUAGAUCCAAAUACACUUGCAGAGCAGUUCCUUUUCUCG
rnacentral:lncRNA from 1 species